GUUAUUCAUUGAUAUAAGUAUUUCCCCGGAGCAGCAUCGCUCGCAAAUGAGAAAUCGUUAAGCAUGUUCGUACAUUACCAAAUAACUAGACGUUUGUGAUGUGAUAGCUUGUAAAUAAACAGUGAUAAUUAUUUCUGAAGAUGAAGUUUGUGUUGUAUUAUGUACUUAUUUUAAUUUUAAUCACCGGUUUGCAAGAAUCGCAUGCAGCUAUGAAAUUUCGGAAUCCUUGUGCGAAGGACUGCGAUCAGUAUUGCCAGAUUAAGGGGAGAAAUUCUGGACUUUGUGCGCAUGGCUCUUGUCGAUGUUACUCUGCGAUUGGAGAUUAAAUUUAAUUUUUAAAGUAUUUAUUAUGUAAAUAAUUAAAGAUAUUGUGUA